rnacentral:ribozyme from 1 species
CGCUACUCCUAUCCCUACCUCCACGCGGUACCGGCCGGAAACUAUGAGCAACCUUAGGGAAGAUCGGGUAACCAACCCCGGUGGGAACUUUGAUCGUAGGCUGACAGGGAAGG